rnacentral:rRNA from 1 species
CCUACGGGUGGCAGCAGUGAGGAAUAUUGGUCAAUGGACGAGAGUCUGAACCAGCCAAGUAGCGUGAAGGAUGACUGCCCUAUGGGUUGUAAACUUCUUUUAUAUGGGAAUAAAACAGGGUAUGCAUACUCUUUUGUAUGUACCAUAUGAAUAAGGAUCGGCUAACUCCGUGCCAGCAGCCGCGGUAAUACGGAGGAUCCGAGCGUUAUCCGGAUUUAUUGGGUUUAAAGGGUGCGUAGGUGGACUUUUAAGUCAGUUGUGAAAGUUUGCGGCUCAACCGUAAAAUUGCAGUUGAAACUGGCAGUCUUGAGUACAGUAGAGGAAGGCGGAAUUCGUGGUGUAGCGGUGAAAUGCUUAGAUAUCACGAAGAACCCCGAUUGCGAAGGCAGCUCACUGGACUGCAACUGACGCUGAUGCACGAAAGUGUGGGUAUCAAACAGGAUUAGAUACCCGAGUAGUC